rnacentral:rRNA from 1 species
UACGUAGGGCGCAAGCGUUUUCCGGAAUUAUUGGGCGUAAAGAGCUCGUAGGCGGUUUGUCGCGUCUGCCGUGAAAUCCCCCGGCUCAACCGAGGAAUUGCGCUUCAAACCGGCGUGCUUGAGGAAGAUAGAGGUGGGCGGAACUGAUGGUGGAGCGGUGAAAUGCGUUGAUAUCAUCAGGAACACCGGAGGCGAAAGCGGCCCACUGGGUCUUUUCUGACGCUGAGGGACGAAAGCUAGGGGAGCGAACGGG